ensembl:lncRNA
GGGCUUCAGGGACAGAGGCUUCAGUACGUAAUGAUGUCUAACCAGACCUUUUUUUUUUCUCUUUCUAAUCAGACUUUUACAAUUUAUUUUUACUUUUUUAUUUUUUAGAUGGAGUUUCGCUGGUGUUACCCAGACUGGAGUGCAAUGACACGAUCUCAGCUCACCGCAACCUCCGCCUUCUUGGUUCAAGCAAUUCUCCUGCCUCAGCCUCCCGAGUAGCUGGGACUACAGGCGCGCACCACCAUGCCCAGCUAAUUUUUGUAGUUUUAGUAGAGACGGGGUUUCACCUUGUUGACCAGGAUGGUCUCGAUCUCUUGACCUCAUGAUCCACCCGCCUCGGCCUCCCAAAGUGCUGGGAUUAUAGGCAUGAGCCACCGUGCCUGGCCCUAAUCAGUCUUUAAUAACAUUAUUUUGAACAAUUAAAUUGACUCUUUAGGUGGCUUCUACUUAGGACAAAGGAUACUGGCUUUCCAUUUCCGAAUGUCCACUUGAUUCAAAGUUUCCGUUUGAAAUACAUUUAAUUAAGCCAGGAGAAACGGUGAGGAAAUAAUAGUGCAUGAAUAGAACAACAUCACGAAGCUGGAACUUGAAUGUCUGAAGUUGGGGAAUGGAUGCCUGCACCUCAUUUUCAGCUUCAUUUUACUCUCAGGAUGGAAGAGCUGAGCCUCCAUGUUCAUGCCCAGAUGAGUGUGAAAAACAAGUCAACAAAUAAACACAAUCUUCUACCAGAAGACCCUGAAACAAAGCAAACAGCUGCCCGCAUUGCUGAAGCAGAGCAGAGCAUCCCUGGUGUCACCCAGUAGGAGACAGAUUCCACAUGGUGACACUGGGGCUCGUGUCAUAUGGAAACAAGAAGAUCUUGGUUCUUCCACUUAAUGGCUGUGGGACCCGAGAAACUGACUUCCUGUGCUGCAAUUUUCUUGCGUAUAAAAUGGGGACGAUACUGGUGCCUGCCCCAUAGGAUCAUUUUGCAGAUAACAUAAGAUAAUACAGAUAAAGCAUUUAGAAUAAUUCACACUGUAUGGUGUGCCUGAUAAUUGUCAGCUAUUUCAGUUACAAUUCCUUUUUCUUUUAUUUUUUUUGAGACUAGGUCUUGCUCUGUGGCCCAGGCUGGAGUGCAGUGGUGCAAACAUGGUUCACUGCAGCUUCUACUGCCCGGGUAGAAGCGAUCCUCCUGCCUUAGCCUCCCAUGUAGCUGGGACCACAGGCACGUACCACCAUGACUGGCUGAUUUUUUUGUCAAGACAGAGUCUUCGUUGCCCAGGCUGGUCUCAAACUCCUGGGCUUAAGCAAUCUUCCUGCUUCAGCCUCCCAAAGUGCUGAGAAUAUGGGUGGGAACAGCUGUGCCCAGCUUCAGUUAUAAUCCUCAUGGUUUUGAAUAGAGUGUGAAUGGCUUUGUGAUCUUAGACAAAUUACUCAAACUUUUCAUGCUUGUUUCUUCAUCUGUAAACAAAGAAAUAACCAUACCUACAUCACAGGAGUAGCUAUAAAAUUAGUAAGUGGAGUAACUCAUGAAAUUGUUAGUCCUGUGGUUAGCACUUGGCAGAAUCUGAAUAAAAUCAUUUUCUUUUCUUUUACUUAGGCAGAACUCAAUCGACUAGAGAGUUAAAAUGAUUAGGUUGUUUGUUUAAGAAAUAAAAUCUUUUGCACUUAUGCUUUUAAAAAUUAUUUUUAUUUUUAAUUGACAAAUCAGAGUUGUAUGUGUUUAUGGGAUACAUAAUGUUUUGCUGUAUGUAUAUUCUGUGAAAUGAUUAAAUCAAGCAAAUUAGCAUAACUAUUACCUGACAGUGGUAACUUCUUUUUUUGUGAUGAGAAAAUUUAAAAUCUACUCCCCUAACAAGGUUCAAGCACACAACAUAGCCCAGCACAGUAGCUCAUGCCUAGAAUCCUAGCACUUUGGGAAGCUGAGGCAGGUGAAUCCUUUGGGCUCAGGAGCAAAACCAGCCUGGGCAACGUGGCAAAACCCCAUCUCUACCAACAAUACAAAAAGUUAGCCAGGAGUGAGGGCAAGUGCCUUUGGUCCAAGCUACAUGGGAAGCCAAGGCAGGAGGAUCACUUAAGCCCAUGAAGUUGAGGCUACAGUGAGCUGUGAUCACACCACUGUACUUCAGCUUGGGUGACAGAGUGAGACCCCGUCUCAAAAAAAAAAAAAAAAAAAAGUAGAAAAUACAUGGUUAUUAAUGAUAGUUGCCGUGUUGUACAUUAGUUCUUCUGAACUUAUUCCUCAGGUCUAAAUGAUAUUUUGUAUCCUUUGACCAAUAUCUCUCCCUCACUCCCAGUUUUAAUUAUAGCACAACACAUAUAAAGUACAC